UGGUGGUAAAACGCUGGCUACAUAUUGCAUGUACCUUGGAGUAAAUGGUCGUGUCCAUGACUUCGCCAUCUCUGUACCAGGUGAUCUCAGCGGCCGGUUUGGCCCCCGAGGAUCUGCAGCACUUGCAAGCCAAGCGUGCCACCCCUGAUGAGGGCGUCCAUCUCCCCGACCAAUAAGGAGCGGCGUGAGCGUAGGAAAAUCACUCCUGGCGAUUAAACAAAUUACUUCCUACCACCUGGGAGUUGUGUGUCUACAGGAAACAAUAAAAGUUGCAGGUCAGUUGUCGAGGAAACCGAAACCACAGGUAACCAUUCGUUGCUUUUGCAUUUUUAUCUGCGACUUUUGUCAGGGACAGAAUGAGCAUAUUUAAUAAUCAAGGAUUUUUGAUUGCCGACUAAUAAUUCUAUUUUUUAUACGAUAUGUUAUACUCUUUUCUAACAGAGCGACUGCGAUAAUCCAGGUGUAAGUCUUGAGUACAAUAAAGCUGCACAUGACAAUAUUUCUUCUUUUUAGUAAUAUGAAGAACACGGUGGAGACAGACUUGAUGAGUUGGUCGACAUAAACAAGACCAACAUAAAUUAACAUGAGGCUACUCCACCCGCGAGAAUUGUGGAAAACUUUUCCAUUACAUUCCCCACGACUCGGAAAGAAGACAAGUAUGGGAAGUGAAGGUUCGCCAUCAACACUGAAGAGCCACCAAUUACAACGUCUUGUGCCAGGACGCAUCCAGCAAAGGCCUCCGGUUUGGAGCUGUGACAAACAAGUGGAGCGUCGCAAGGCUCCAUAAGCCCAUCUGGUGCGAUGAUCGAUCAUUAGAUUGAGAGUGCGGCGAUAACUUCUCACUUUGCCUGCUGGCUACCACUGAUCCCAUAUCGCCCUGGCAGGAUACGUACCCCCCUCCUCGCUCCCCCCCCAGAGAGGAGUCUGAUGGCGUGUGGGACCAAGGAGUUUUUUAGUCUAUUAGUCCUGCACUUGGGACUCGCCUACCAAUCAUGAGCAGUAAUCUCCAUCAUGAAAAUUAAGGUGUUUGCAAAGGGGAAUGGAGGAGUAAACACGUUUGUGUUGACGGCCCAGCCUGAGGUGAAGAUGUCUCCAGGCAGAAGACAGGAAGCUGACACGGCGCCACCUCCAUUGUCC